UAACUCAACAAAGACUUCUCCAUUUACUAGGGGUCAGCUUCAUGGAUCCUAUCCAAAGUAUUUGGUAUAAGGCUCACAAUUGAGGUUUUCUUUGUCAUUGAUGAAGCCAGAAACCUAUAUCAUAAACUAACAUUCGUGAACUUUCCGCAGGUUGCUAUUAUCAAAUAGGAGGGACUAUAAAUCCGGAUUAACACAAAACAAAUUCCUUAACUACUAGUAAUAUUUCUGUGGA
rnacentral:lncRNA from 1 species